rnacentral:rRNA from 1 species
UACGGGGGGGGCAAGCGUUGUUCGGAAUUACUGGGCGUAAAGGGCUCGUAGGCGGCCAACUAAGUCAGACGUGAAAUCCCCAGGCUCAACCUGGGAACUGCGUCUGAUACUGGAUGGCUUGAAUCCGGGAGAGGGAUGCGGAAUUCCAGGUGUAGCGGUGAAAUGCGUAGAUAUCUGGAGGAACACCGGUGGCGAAGGCGGCAUCCCGGACCGGUUCUGACGCUGAGGCGCGAAAGCGGGGGGAGCAAACAGG